rnacentral:rRNA from 1 species
UACGUAGGGGGCUAGCGUUGUCCGGAUUUAUUGGGCGUAAAGAGCGUGUAGGCGGCUAGGUAGGUCCGUUGUGAAAACUCGAGGCUCAACCUCGAGACGCCGGUGGAAACCAUCUAGCUAGAGUCCGGAAGAGGAGAGUGGAAUUCCUGGUGUAGCGGUGAAAUGCGCAGAUAUCAGGAAGAACACCCGUGGCGAAGGCGGCUCUCUGGGACGUGACUGACGCUGAGACGCGAAAGCGUGGGGAGCGAACAGG